rnacentral:rRNA from 1 species
UGGCGGACGGGUGAGUAACGCGUGGGCAACCUGGCCUGUACAGGGGGAUAACACUUAGAAAUAGGUGCUAAUACCGCAUAACGGGGGAAGCCGCAUGGCUUUUCCCUGAAAACUCCGGUGGUACAGGAUGGGCCCGCGUCUGAUUAGCCAGUUGGCAGGGUAACGGCCUACCAAAGCGACGAUCAGUAGCCGGCCUGAGGAGGGCGGACGGCCACACUGGGACUGAGACACGGCCCAGACUCCUACGGAAGGCAGCAG